GGGUUGUGAGGUUAAGCGAACAAGCGUACACGGUGGAUGCCCUGGCAGUCAGAGGCGAUGAAGGACGUGCUAAUCUGCGAAAAGCGCCGGUAAGGUGAUAUGAACCGUUAUAACCGGCGAUGUCCGAAUGGGGAAACCCGGUGCACUUCGGUGCAUCAUCGUUAGCUGAAUACAUAGGCUAACGAGGCGAACCGGGGGAACUGAAACAUCUAAGUACCCCGAGGAAAAGAAAUCAACCGAGAUUCCCCCAGUAGCGGCGAGCGAACGGGGAACAGCCCAGAGCCUGAAUCAGCUUGUGUGUCAGUGGAACGGUCUGGAAAGGCCGGCGAUACAGGGUGACAGCCCCGUACACGAAGGCACACAGGCUGUGAGCUCGAUGAGUAGGGCGGGACACGUGAUAUCCUGUCUGAAGAUGGGGGGACCAUCCUCCAAGGCUAAAUACUCCUGACUGACCGAUAGUGAACCAGUACCGUGAGGGAAAGGCGAAAAGAACCCCGGCGAGGGGAGUGAAACAGAACCUGAAACCGUGUACGUACAAGCAGUGGGAGCCUUCGUAAGAGGGUGACUGCGUACCUUUUGUAUAAUGGGUCAGCGACUUAUAUUCUGUAGCAAGGUUAACCGUAUAGGGGAGCCGAAGGGAAACCGAGUCUUAACCGGGCGUUAAGUUGCAGGGUAUAGACCCGAAACCCGGUGAUCUAGCCAUGGGCAGGUUGAAGGUUGGGUAACACUAACUGGAGGACCGAACCGACUAAUGUUGAAAAAUUAGCGGAUGACCUGUGGCUGGGGGUGAAAGGCCAAUCAAACCGGGAGAUAGCUGGUUCUCCCCGAAAGCUAUUUAGGUAGCGCCUCGUGAACUCAUCUCCGGGGGUAGAGCACUGUUUCGGCUAGGGGGCCAUCCCGGCUUACCAACCCGAUGCAAACUGCGAAUACCGGAGAAUGUUAUCACGGGAGACACACGGCGGGUGCUAACGUCCGUCGUGAAGAGGGAAACAACCCAGACCGCCAGCUAAGGUCCCAAAGUCAUGGUUAAGUGGGAAACGAUGUGGGAAGGCCCAGACAGCCAGGAUGUUGGCUUAGAAGCAGCCAUCAUUUAAAGAAAGCGUAAUAGCUCACUGGUCGAGUCGGCCUGCGCGGAAGAUGUAACGGGGCUAAACCAUGCACCGAAGCUGCGGCAGCGACACUCUGUGUUGUUGGGUAGGGGAGCGUUCUGUAAGCCUGCGAAGGUGUGCUGUGAGGCAUGCUGGAGGUAUCAGAAGUGCGAAUGCUGACAUAAGUAACGAUAAAGCGGGUGAAAAGCCCGCUCGCCGGAAGACCAAGGGUUCCUGUCCAACGUUAAUCGGGGCAGGGUGAGUCGACCCCUAAGGCGAGGCCGAAAGGCGUAGUCGAUGGGAAACAGGUUAAUAUUCCUGUACUUGGUGUUACUGCGAAGGGGGGACGGAGAAGGCUAUGUCGGCCGGGCGACGGUUGUCCCGGUUUAAGCGUGUAGGCUGACUUUCCAGGCAAAUCCGGAAAGUUAAGGCUGAGGCGUGAUGACGAGGCACCACGGUGCUGAAGUGACAAAUGCCCUGCUUCCAGGAAAAGCCUCUAAGCAUCAGGUAACAUCAAAUCGUACCCCAAACCGACACAGGUGGUCAGGUAGAGAAUACCAAGGCGCUUGAGAGAACUCGGGUGAAGGAACUAGGCAAAAUGGUGCCGUAACUUCGGGAGAAGGCACGCUGACAUGUAGGUGAAGCCCCUGCGGGUGGAGCUGAAGUCAGUCGAAGAUACCAGCUGGCUGCAACUGUUUAUUAAAAACACAGCACUGUGCAAACACGAAAGUGGACGUAUACGGUGUGACGCCUGCCCGGUGCCGGAAGGUUAAUUGAUGGGGUUAUCGCAAGAGAAGCUCCUGAUCGAAGCCCCGGUAAACGGCGGCCGUAACUAUAACGGUCCUAAGGUAGCGAAAUUCCUUGUCGGGUAAGUUCCGACCUGCACGAAUGGCGUAAUGAUGGCCAGGCUGUCUCCACCCGAGACUCAGUGAAAUUGAACUCGCUGUGAAGAUGCAGUGUACCCGCGGCAAGACGGAAAGACCCCGUGAACCUUUACUACAGCUUGACACUGAACAUUGAGCCUUGAUGUGUAGGAUAGGUGGGAGGCUUUGAAGCGUGGACGCCAGUCUGCGUGGAGCCGACCUUGAAAUACCACCCUUUAAUGUUUGAUGUUCUAACCUGGCGCCGUAAUCCGGCGUGGGGACAGUGUCUGGUGGGUAGUUUGACUGGGGCGGUCUCCUCCCAAAGUGUAACGGAGGAGCACGAAGGUCAGCUAAUCCUGGUCGGACAUCAGGAGGUUAGUGCAAUGGCAUAAGCUGGCUUGACUGCGAGAGUGACGGCUCGAGCAGGUGCGAAAGCAGGUCAUAGUGAUCCGGUGGUUCUGUAUGGAAGGGCCAUCGCUCAACGGAUAAAAGGUACUCCGGGGAUAACAGGCUGAUACCGCCCAAGAGUUCAUAUCGACGGCGGUGUUUGGCACCUCGAUGUCGGCUCAUCACAUCCUGGGGCUGAAGUAGGUCCCAAGGGUAUGGCUGUUCGCCAUUUAAAGUGGUACGCGAGCUGGGUUUAGAACGUCGUGAGACAGUUCGGUCCCUAUCUGCCGUGGGCGCUGGAGAAUUGAGGGGGGCUGCUCCCAGUACGAGAGGACCGGAGUGGACGCAUCACUGGUGUUCGGGUUGUCAUGCCAAUGGCACUGCCCGGUAGCUAAAUGCGGAAGAGAUAAGUGCUGAAAGCAUCUAAGCACGAAACUUGCCCCGAGAUGAGUUCUCCCUGAGACUAUAAGUCUCCUGAAGGAACGUUGAAGACGACGACGUUGAUAGGCCGGGUGUGUAAGCGCAGCGAUGCGUUGAGCUAACCGGUACUAAUGAACCGUGAGGCUUAACCUUACAACGCCAAAGAAGU
rnacentral:rRNA from 1 species